UACAGAGGUCCCAAGCGUUGUUCGGAUUCACUGGGCGUAAAGGGUGCGUAGGUGGUGAGGUAAGUCGGAUGUGAAAGCUCGGAGCUCAACUCCGAAAUGGCAUUGGAAACUACCUUGCUCGAGGGUUGGAGGGGGGACUGGAAUGCUUGGUGUAGCAGUGAAAUGCGUAGAUAUCAGGAGGAACACCGAUGGCGAAGGCAGGUCUCUGGGCUGACACUGACGCUCAUGCACGAAAGCGUGGGGAGCAGACAGG
rnacentral:rRNA from 1 species